GGGUGAGUAACACGUGGAUAACCUACCUAUAAGACUGGGAUAACUUCGGGAAACCGGAGCUAAUACCGGAUAAUAUUUUGAACCGCAUGGUUCAAAAGUGAAAGACGGUCUUGCUGUCACUUAUAGAUGGAUCCGCGCUGCAUUAGCUAGUUGGUAAGGUAACGGCUUACCAAGGCAACGAUGCAUAGCCGACCCGAGAGGGUGAUCGGCCACACUGGAACUGAGACACGGUCCAG
rnacentral:rRNA from 1 species